rnacentral:tRNA from 1 species
AGGUAGCUCAGUUGGUUAGAGCAAAGGACUGAAAAUCCUUGUGUCGGUGGUUCAAA